rnacentral:rRNA from 1 species
UACGUAGGGGGCGAGCGUUGUCCGGAAUCAUUGGGCGUAAAGAGCUCGUAGGCGGCUUGGCAAGUCGGAUGUGAAAACUCCAGGCUCAACCUGGAGCCGCCAUUCGAUACUGCUAUGGCUAGAGUCCGGUAGGGGAGUGUGGAAUUCCCGGUGUAGCGGUGAAAUGCGCAGAUAUCGGGAGGAACACCGAUGGCGAAGGCGACUUCCUGGCCUGUUCUUGACGCUGAGGCGCGAAAGCUAGGGUAGCAAACGGG